rnacentral:rRNA from 1 species
CGGAGGAAAAGAAACUAACAAGGAUUCCCCUAGUAACGGCGAGUGAAGCGGGAUCAGCUCAAGCUUAAAAUCUCUGUUGCUUGCAACAGCGAAUUGUAGUCUCGAGAAGCGUUUUCAAGACGGAUACGCAGUGCUCAAGUUGCUUGGAACGGCACAUCGUAGAGGGUGACAAUCCCGUACGUGGCACUGUGUACUGUUCACGAUGCGCUUUCAAUGAGUCGGGUUGCUUGGGAAUGCAGCCCAAAAUGGGAGG